AUUCAGGCCAAGUUUAGCUGGAGGACAUUUCAGUUCCACAUGGCAUUAACUGCGUCAUUUUAGAUUUAGUGGUAUUUAGAUGGUGAGCUGGCUGGACUGAAGGGGUCAAGACAGUUUCACUCAUAUUUUAGGAGCCUUGGCAGGAAUGGCUGGUCGUCUGGAAGGUUGGAUGGCAUUGAAAAACAAUCCAAUAGCUUGAUUGUCAACUGGAGCACCUGAAUGCAACUAUGCCAACAUAGUAGUCUCAGGGUAGCCAAACUUCUUACACAGUAGCUGGAGUCUUGAGGCAGUAUUAUAAGAGACCAAGACGGGAAUUACAAGGCUUCUCCUGACCCAGCUUUGGAAGGCAGGCACUGUUGCUUCAGUCACAUUCUAUUGGUCUACUGGUUCUAUUGAAUGACUGAGGCUGAUCCAGAUUUUAGGGGACAAGUAUCUUUAAUUUACCUCAACUGCUGAGCCUCAGUUCUGCUGCAUAGAACCAGCUAUGGGUACCAUCCAUUUCAUCUUCUCAACCUUCCCAUUGUCACGACCAGUGUCUUCAUCAUGUAAUGAGAAUGCCAAGACUGAGAUGUCACCAGGGCAACAGAAACCUCAGCAGUCACAGAGAGAGAGAGAGAGAGGCAGAGACACAGGCAGAGGGAGAAGCAGGCUCCAUGCACCGGGAGCCCGACGUGGGAUUCGAUCCCAGGUCUCCAGGAUCGCGCCCCGGGCCAAAGGCAGGCGCUAAACCGCUGUGCCACCCAGGGAUCCCGAUACGAGAAUAUCUUGAUGAAGCAAUGCAGGUGUGUGUGGCCAGUUCAAGGGACCUCAGGCUUCUGCAGAGGAAGAUAUGAAAGUGAAAGGCAGUCAGUGAGGCCUGAACUUCUGAAACUCAAAAACCAAGAGAAGACUUCUUUUCCCCAGAACUUUGCCUUUCCUGACAUGUGUCUCACUGGCUAAAGGGGACAAGGGAAUCUGAGCCAAGACCAGGAAAAGUUUUGAAUAAACCAGGACCCAGGGGCCACCCAACAGUAAAGACCAGUGACCCUCCCAUUCCAAGGACACUACGCAACCCGGGGAGACUGCUGCUUGGGCCUUUGAACCCAAACUGCUGAACAAUGAGUCUCUCCAACAAAGACUUUCCUUUAUGGGACAGCUGGUUACAUUUCAGAGCACUCAGCAGUGCCGAGCAGACUCCAAGGAAUAGCACAAGGGUGGCACUGAGGGCUUUUAUGACAGCCUCUUGGGAGCUAAACUCACAACAGUCCUUCCCUCCCUGGGAGACUUCUCUAGGACUCUAUUCCACACGUAGCUCUCCCCAUCACAAAAAAAAAAAAAAGGACACUUUGACUUCA